rnacentral:lncRNA from 1 species
UUACAAUACCCCCUCUCUCACUCUCACAUAAGAUCCACGCCAUCCUAACCCUAGGACCAAACCCGCCGCCACCUAAAAACCCAAUCACUAAAAGACUUGCCUACUGCCACUGGCCGACCACUAUCCGGGAGAAGUCAUGGGCACCACUGCCGACCGCCGACGAGAAAGAGGAAAAAAGCCAUAGCUUUCACCAUCUCGCACCACCACUGGUGUUUUGGCAAUCGAUUGAUUGUUCGAUGACUGCGAGCGCGAACCCUUCAUCGAAAGAUCGAGAAGCUUCGGCCAAGGGUAAUGGCGCCACCACCAACGGCAGUUUGGUGCCCCACGACAACGCCAUCGUGGAGUCUACUUAGGCCGCGCUCCACCACAACCCCGGCCUCUCCGUAGAGUGGACUGCGGACAAGCAGGUACUCUUGGAUGAGUUGCUCACCAAGUCAGUAAUUCUCUCGCUCCAUAUGUAUACGUAUACACGCACGUAUAUCUAUAGGUAUACAUGCUGAAUUGUGAAUUCGUGUUUGUAAUUAUUUAAAUCUUGGUUGGGCUUUGUGUAUAUUUGUGAAUUAUUGUAUGCUAUUCUUUGAAUCUUGUUAUGUACGAAUUACCCUGGUUAUUGUUGCAAAAUACCAAACCCUUUGAAUUGUGGGUAGACUGGGUAGAUUAAGGCUACGGGCAAAUUAAGAUCACAUAUAUCUAUAAGCAUAUAUGCUGGAUUGUGAAUUCGUGUUUGAAAUUCUUUAAAUCUUGGUUGGGGUUUGUGUUUAUUUGUGAAUUCUUGUUUGCUAUUUCUUUGAAUCUUGUUAUGUAUGAAUUUACCCUGGUUAUUGUUGCAAAUUAGCAAACCCUUUGAAUUGUGGGUAAAUUAAGGUCGCAAGGGUAAAUUUGGCAUUUCAUCUCCUCUUUUUGCUUAUGUCAUCGUUUUCUGUUUGGUUUAACUAUGGUUGACUAACAGAGGGACUAAAUUUUAAAAGCAAGAGGUGUUAGUGCGAUUUUAAAUAAUAGAGGGGUGAUUAUAAUUCAGGGUGUUGCUUUUUGUCGGAUCACUUCAUUUGUUAGGUAAAUUACAAUGACAUCCCUAUGUAACAGUGAAAACCCAUUGUCACCGACUCACCUACUCUAUUCUAUGAAAUCACAAUGACUUUAUUUUAAAAAAUGUUGUAACAGUUUAGUCCUUCCGUGUUAGCAGACCGUCUGAUAUUAAAAAAAAUAGAAGAUGAAAUACCAAAUUUGCCGUGGUAAGCUUUUCUUCUUGUUCCCCUUUCUUGCAAUGCUUCUAAAUCAUAACCUCUUGUAAACAUCACGGCCACAAUCACUACCUCCAUCCUCACCAACUCUUUUUUUUUUCUUCAGGUUUUUAUUUUUAAUUUUUAGUUUUAUGAUUUUUUAGUUGGUUUUUCCGAUUUUCGUUUGUUUAUGCUUAUUCUUUCAAUUUUCUUUCGUCUCAAAUUUUGAGUUUUAGGCUUUUUGUUUGGUUCUUUUGAUUUUUGUUUGUUUGUGUUGGUUCUUUCGAUUUUUUGUCAUUUUGAAUUUUGAAAUUUAAGGCUUUUAUGUUGGUUUUUUGAUUUUCUUUUUUGAGUUGUAAAGCUUUUGGUUAUUUUGAUUUUUUUUCGUUUUUGUUGUUUUUUUUCAAUUUUUUUGUAGUUUUAAAGUUUGAGUUUUAGGGCUUUUUGUUUGGUUCUUUUGAUUUUUGUUUGUUUGUGUUGGUUCUUUUGAUUUUCGUUUUAUGCUUGUUCUUUCAAUUUUCUUUCGUCUCAAAUUUUGAGUUUUAGGAUUUAUUUAUUGGUUCUUUUAAUUUUUUUAGUUGGUUCUUUUGAUUUUCUUUCGUUUUAAUUUUUGAGUUUUAAGAUUUUUUAAGAUUUCUUUCUUUCCUGUUAGUUCUUUUCAUUUUAUUUUAAUUUUUUAGUUUUAGACUUUUUAGUUGGUUCUUUCAAUUUUCGUUUGUUUAUGCUUGUUCUUUUAAUUUUCUUUUGUCUCAAAUUUUGAGUUUUAGAUUUUAUUUAUUGAUUGUUUCGAUUUUCUUUGGUUGAUUUUUUUGAUUUUCUUCCGUUUCAAUUUUUGAGUUUUAGAAUUUGUUCAGAUAUCUUUCGUUUCUGUUAAUUAUUCUCAUUUGAUUUUAAUUUUUUAGUUUUAUGAUUUUUUAGUUGGUUCUUUCGAUUUUCGCUUGUUCUUUCAAUUUUCUUUCGUCUCAAAUUUUGAGUUUUAGGCUUUAUCUAUUGGUUCUUUCGAUUUUCUUUGGUUGAUUCUUUUGAUUUUCUUCUGUUUUAAUUUUUGAGUUUCAGAAUUUUUUCGGCUUUCUUUUGUUUUUGUUUAUUCUCUUCAUUUUAUUUUAAUUUUUUAGUUUUAGACUUUUUUAGUUGGUUUUUCCGGAUUUUCGUUUGUUUAUGCUUAUUCUUUCAAUUUUCUUUCAUCUCAAAUUUUGAAUUUUAGCUUUUGUUUAUUGGUUCUUUCAAUUUUCUUUGGUUGGUUCUUUUGAUUUUCUUUCGUUUCACUUUUUGAGUUUUAGAAUUUUUUCGGAUUUCUUUUCGUUUUUAUUGGUUCUUCUUAUUUUAUUUUAAUUUUUAAUUUUUAUGAUUUUUUAGUUGGUUCUUUCGAUUUUCGCUUGUUCUUUAAAUUUUUUUUUCGUCUGAAAUUUUGAGUUUUAGGCUUUAUCUAUUGGUUUUUUCGAUUUUCUUUGGUUGGUUCUUUUGAUUUUCUUCUGUUUUAAGUUUUGAAUUUCAGAUUUUUUUCGGCUUUCUUUCGUUUUUGUUCGUUCUUUUUUUUUUUCAUUUUAUUUUAAUGUUUUAGUUUUAAGCUUUUUUAGUUGGUUCUUUCGAUUUUUGUUAUUUAUGCUUAUUUUUUUAAUUUUCUUUCGUCUCAAAUUUUGAAUUUUAGGUUUUGUUUGUUGGUUCUUUCGAUUUUUUUCUUUGGUUCUUUUGAUUUUUUUCGUUUGAAUUUUUGAGUUUUAGAAUUUUUUCGGAUUUCUUUCGUUUCUGUUGGUUCUUUUCAUUUUGAUUUAUUUUGUAGUUUUAAAUUUUUUUAGUUGAUUUUUUCGAUUUUCGUUUGUCUAUGCUUGUUUUUUCAAUUUUCUUUCGUCUCAAAUUUUUAGUUUUAGGCUUUAUCUAUUCGUUCUUUCAAUUUUUCUUUGGUUGGUUCUUUUGAUUUUCUUCUAUUUUAAUUUUUGAGUUUCAGAAUUUUUUAGCUUUUUUUCGUUUCUAUUUUUUUUUUUUUAUUUUUUAGUUUUAGGCUUUUUUACUUGGUUUUUUCGAUUUUCGUUUGUUUAUGCUUGUUCUUUCGUCCCAAACUUGAAUUUUAGAUUUUGUUUAUUGAUUCUUUCUAUUUUCUUUGGUUGAUUCUUUUGAUUUUCUUUCGUUUCAAUGUUUGAGUUUUAAAUUUUUUUCGGAUUUCAUUUCUGUUUGUUUUUUUCAUUUUAUUUUAAUUUUUUAAUUUUUGCCUUUUUAGUUGGUUUUUUCGAUUUUCGUUUGUUAUGCUUGUUCUUUUAAUUUUCUUUCAUAUGAAAUUUUGAGUUUUAGGUUUUAUCUAUUAGUUCUUUCAAUUUUCUUUUGUUGGUUCUUUUGAUUUUCUUCUGUUUUAAUUUUUGAGUUUCAUAAUUUUUUCGGUUUUCUUUCAUUUCUGUUCAUUCUUUUCAUUUUAUUUUAAUUCUUUAGUUUUAGGCUUUUUUAGUUGGUUUUUUCGAUUUUCGUUUGUUUAUGCUUGUUCUUUUAAUUUUUUGUCUCAAAUUUUGAAUUUUAGGUUUCGUUUAUUGGUUCUUUCGAUUUUUUUCUUUGGUUAGUUCUUUUGAUUUUCUUACGUUUUAAUUUUUGCGUUUUAGAAUUUUUUCGAAUUUCUUUCAUUUCUGUUGGUUCUUUUCAUUUUAUUUUAAUUUUUUAGUUGGUUUUCUCGAUUUUCGUUUGUUUAUACUUGUUUUUUGUCUCAAAUUUUGAGUUUUAGGCUUUAUCUAUUGGUUCUUUUGAUUUUCUUUCGUUUCAAUUUUUGAGUUUUAAAAUUUUUUCAACUUUCUUUUGUUUAUGUUGUUUCUUUAUCUUUUCUUUUAAUUUAAUUUUGUAGUUUUAGGCUUUUUUUAGUUGGUUCUUUCAAUUUUCUUUUGUUUGUGCUGGUUUUUUCGAUUUCUUAUUGUUUCUUUAGUUUAAGGCUUUGUUUUUUUGUUUUCUUUUAUUUGUUUUUUUUGAUUUCAUUUCACUUAUUCUAAAUUUUUUCAAUUUGAAAAUUUGAGUUGUUGCCCUUUUGUUUUUGGUUCUUUUGUUUUUGUUGGAUUCCUUAGUUUUUCGUAUUAUUUAAUUUUGAAUUUUAGACUAUUUUUUGUUCUUCGAUUUUAUUUGUUUUAAAUUUGGAUUUAGGGCUUUUUAUGUUGAUUUUUUUACAUUUCCUUAUGUUUCAAAAUUUUGAGUUUUAGGGUUUUUCGAUUUACUUUCAUUAAAAUUUUUAGUUUUAAAAGGUUAUUUCUAUUGGUUAUUUCAAUUUUCUUUUGUUUGUGCUGGUUUUUUCGAUUUCUUAUUGUUUCUUUAGUUUAAGGCUUUUUUUUAGUUUUCUUUUAUUGUUUUUGUUGAUUUCAUUUCACUUAUCCUAAUAUUUUUCAAUUUAAAAUUUGAGUUGUUGCCCUUUUGUUUUUGGUUCUUUUGUUUUUGUUGGAUUCCUUUAGUUUUUCGUAAUUAUUUUAAUUUUGAAUUUUAGACUAUUUUUUUUGCUUCUUUCGAUUUUAUUUGUUUUAAAUUUUGGUUUUAGGGCUUUUUAUGUUGAUUUUUUUAAUUUCCUUAUGUUUCAAAUUUUGAGUUUUAGGGUUUUUUCGAUUUACUUUCAUUAAAAUUUUUAGUUUUAAAGUUAUUUCUAUUGGUUAUUUCAAUUUUCUUUUGUUUUUAUUUGUUUUUUGAUUUUUGCUAGUUUUUUCAAUUUCCUUUCAUUUUAAAUAUCGAGUUUUAGGCUCUUUCCUUUUGAUUCUUCUGAUUUUAUUUCGUUUUAAAUUUUAGGUUGUGUGACUUUUAUGGUUUUUACGAUUUGUCUUUUGUUUUUGUUGGUUCUUUUGAUUUUUCUUCGUUUUAAAAUUUUGAAUUUUAGGUCUUUUUUUAUUUAUUUUUUUCGAUUUUCUUUCGUUUCCGUUAGUUAUUUUAAUUUUCAUUCCUUUUAAAAUUUGAAUUGUAGGCUAUUUUGUUUUGGUUCUUUUCGAUUUUUUUGUUUCAAAUUUUGAGUUUAAGAUUGUUUUGAUUUUUUUUGUUUUCCUUUCGUUUCAAAUUUUGAAUUUAGGGUUCCUUAUGAAUUUUGAGUUUUUGGUAUUUUAUUUGGUUUAUGUCAAUUCUUUGUUUCUGCUGGUUCUUUCGAUUUUUUUUAAUUUUUAAUUUUUAGUUUUAUAGUUGGUUCUAUUUUUUUUUGUUUCUACUUGUUUUUCGAUUUUUUUUCAUUUCUACUAGUUUUUUCAAUUCCCUUUCAUUUUAAAUUUUAAAUUUUAGGUUUUUUUUUUGUUCUUUUUUUUUUCCGUUUCAAAAUUUGAAUUUUAGAGUUUUUAUAAUUUCUUGGAUUUUCUUUUGUUUCCGCUAGUUCGUUUGAUAUCUUUUCGUUUUAAAUUAUCAAUUUUAAGGUUGUUUCUAUUGGUUCUUCUAAAUUUUGAGUUCUAGGGAUUUUAUGUUUUUUUCUAUUUUCUUUUGUUUCUAUUGGUUCUAUCGAUUUUCUUUCAUUUCAAAUUUUGAGUUUUAAGGGUUUUUUUUUUUUGUUGAUUCUUUGGUUUCUUUUCAUUAAAAUUUGAGUUUACUUUUUUUUUUCAUUUGGUUCUAUUUUUAUUUUGUUUUUGUUGUUUUUUUCGAUUUCUUUUGUGCUAGUUUUUUACAAUUUCUUUUUAUUUUAAAAUUUGAGUUUUAGGGCUUUUAUGGUUUUUCGACUUUCUUUUAUUUUUGAUUUUGUGUUUUAGGGCUUUGUCGGGUAAUUCUUUCUAUUUUUCUUUGUUUCUGCUAGAUUUUUUGAUUUCCUUUCUUUUCGGCUAGUUAUUUUAAUUUUGAAUUUUAGGAGGCCCUUUUAUUUUGGUUCAUUCUAACUUUUUAUUUAAUUUUGAACAUUUUUUUAUUGCUUGUUUUAAUUUAUACUUUUAUUUCUUUAUUUAAUUUCAUAGUCCAUUUGUUUGUUGGUUCUUUCAAUUUUCUUUUUCUUCUUUUAGUUAUCAUUGUUUGAUACUCUUCCUUUUUUAUGGCUUGAUACUAUUCAAUUCUUUGGACUUUGGGUAUUUGACCAUCCAUGUCUCUCCAUCACUCUUGGCUACAGUUUGUACUGUUCAUUGAUUAAUGAUUUUCCAGUUUAUGGGUUUGUUACUUUUGUUUUAGAUUUAAAUUUCAGGGUUAUGCGCACGGUUUCUUUCUUCUAUCUGCAUCUAACUUUGCAUUUAUGUUCUUUGGUAAGGUUUAUGUUUUUCGUUGCUUUCUGCUUUUCGUGGAUCUAUCAACCAGAGGUUCACCGCAUCUCUAAGAUCCAUUUUUUAGGUCCUCUCUCUCUCAAUGUCUUGCAUAUGCUUUAGAAAACCCUUCCCGUAAAUUUUCCUGUGGACAGUGACCAUCGGAGAUUGAUUAGGCGUGGGGAGUUGUGACUUGGCGGAGGAUUCCGGAUCAGUCAGUGGUGCCGAGCCAAGCUACCACUGAGGCUGGGUAGCCCAAUAUAGCAAUACUUUGUGCCACACCUCAAGCUGUCCCUGCCCAAUUCCAAGUUCGUGAAUUGGUGUUAUGGCUCCCGAUGGACCAAGCUAUACCAUAAUUGGUGGUAGGUUCAAUUCCCAUUCGGGCAACUUUGAUUCUUGAAUUCUGAGUUUUUCAAAUAUUAUAUGUGUUUCUUAUGCCAAUUUGUAAAUAUUAUUUUACUGUGCUCUAUUUUGUUGUUAAAGAAAAUAUGAGUUGCUGGUAAAGGGCUUAUCUAUGGAUAAUUAUCUGCCGUUUCAUUUGUGUAGAUAUCCGACCAACUUCAAUACGCCGUAGUAUUUGUUUGAGAUGGUUUGAUGAGGUAGUGAUAACUUGUGACUAAUAAUUAUCACCGCAGCUGGAGUGCUAGUGCUAGUUCCAAAUUCUUAGUCUGGAGUCCGUGUCCUUGUCGAUCAUCCCAAUCUUAAUCUUGUAAUUCUCACAAUGAGCAGUUCCAAAUCCAACCUAGCAGAUGCUGCAAUUUUGGGCACUGAUGUGUUGGUCUGGCAAGGGAAGCAACUGUGCCUUUUGACAACUUCUUAUUUAGGCAAAAACAUACUGUGUCUUUGUAUGUGAAGUACGUCAAUUGCUCUUUCUACUAGGUUUACCAGCGUCCACAUCAGGGAUUGAUAAUUUCAUAUGUCGGUUACUCUUUAUGCGGUGUUUAUGUUUUAUUUCAUGUGCUGUUAUGAAAUUGUUAACGUGUUCCAAUUGACAACGUUGCUGGCAUCAACUUAACCUGUUUAAUACAAAGCUAAUGAUUUGUUUGAAUUGAUUUCUCUAAAGGAUUCAACCUAGAUUAAGGAGUAUACAUAACUACAAUUCAACACAUUGGUUUUCACCAUUCUUGAUGUCAGCCCUCCUCUAAUAUCUUCAUGUUAGGGUCUCCAUAUUAAUUUCCAUUGUUCUUGCUAAUUCUGCAACCUUCUUUGCGUCCAUUUUGCUACGAGUAUGGAAGGAGGUCACAAUGAUGGAAAUUCGGUAUAGUCUUAAGAGUUAGACUUGGUGAGACGAAUAUUCAUGUCAAGGAUCGAGCCCACGGAAUCCAGUUUUAUUUGGAAGAUUACCGUGUCAACUAAUUCAGAUUCUUGAUAUUAUUCUAAUUUGUUAAGUUACUCUUUUGAGGCAAUUGACCAUAUUCUGAUCAGUUCAUCAGCUAGUUUUAGGAAGUAACUUAGUUUUUUCAUCAAUUUCCUCAAAGAAUUAUAUUUUGCAGACAAAUAACAUCCACGGUAUCUUGUUUUUGACUCGAUGAUCUGCAUAAUCAAAUCCAUGUUUUCCAGAUAUUGUGCUUUCUAGGUUAUUUUGCAUUCACUCGCCAUGAAUUAGAAAUAAUGAGUCAACUGAUGGUUUGUAGUAAUGGGCAUCGAAUUGAGUGACCGUUGUAUUUCAUCAGCUGAGUCAUUCAAGGAUUAGCUUCAAUUUUUUAUGAUCCUUCACAGUAUGUGUAUCAGUAAUAUUUAAGGGACACUGACAUAACUCUAGGUGGACUUGUGACAAGGUCUUUAUCUGAAAUGGAGAAUGCUUUUCGAUACAUUUUAUUGACUCUAAAUAUGUGAAAUAUAAUCCUGUGUAUACUUGUUGCAAACUACUGUCAGGACAUGGAUUGUUGGAUCUGAGGUGGUGCUGGAAUUUGUUGACUACAAGAAGCAAAUGAUAUGUUCCAACUUACAAUUGUUGAUUCUUUAAUGAAUGCAAUAUCUGUGUUCUCGCGAUACUAUUGUUUUUCUGACAUAAUAUUGCAAUCUAAUGUGAGAUUUCAAUAACCGUAAAUUAGAACUGUCUUCUCCUAUAA